rnacentral:misc_RNA from 1 species
ACAAACUUGGUCAUUUAGAGGAAGUAAAAGUCGUAACAAGGUUUCCGUAGGUGAACCUGCGGAAGGAUCAUUACUGAAGUUUAUUAUAAAUAGCUUUUAGGUCUCUAAUCAGAUCUCUAAACUAUUUAUUUUCUUCCAAUAAUCCACUGUGAACUUUUUAUUUUUUUUGUUACCCUUUGAUCGGACAGCCCAGCAUUGUUACAUACACACAUAUAAUGUGUGUAUGUGGUGUGUGUCGGGGUUGGUCGAGGACGACCAGAAUGUCAUUAUUUUGGUCGGACGAAUUACUUACCCAUAUUUAAAGAACAAAAUGAAUAGAAUGACAAGGAUAUGAAAAGAAAUAAUGAUAAAACUUUCAGUGACGGAUCUCUUGGCUCUCGCAUCGAUGAAGAACGCAGC